ensembl:piRNA 21ur-2807 ncRNA
UACAUAUAGCAUCGAAAUGUG